rnacentral:tRNA from 1 species
GCUGAAAUAGCUCAGUUGGGAGAGCGAUAGACGAUAGAUCAAAAGGCCUCUGGUUUGAUCCCGGGAUUAGCA